AACAUUUAAUUUUAACGUGGCUUUAAGCACUAUGCAUCAUUAAAGUUUCACUUUAACCACGUAAAGCCGGUAAAUGUGGUGUUUACAUGGAUUAAUCGUAAUAUGAGUUUACCUUAUGGUCCGAACCCAGAGUCUUCGCAUCAGUAGGAAAGCGAUAAACUCAAGCAUCUUCCAUCCGAAGACUUGUUGCAUUUCGGGGCAAAGCAAAAAAAACAUUGUCGAACAAAAAUAUAAAAUGCGGGAAACUAUUCAUUGGUUAUUCUAAAAUUAAUUGUAUUACAAAUUAUACUACAACUGGAAAAUACUGUAAAUUGAUAAACUGUUCGGCGUGAUGACGUUUAAUGUCUCCGACAGCGCCUGUAGUCCCAUUUAGCAACUUGUUAGCAACCGUCUUUUUAAAGAAACAUAACAGUUUUAAAAAAUCAUGAGUGGGGUGUAACUGGUGUGUUUUAUGUCGUAGAAUAAAACGUGAAAGUAUCUUGAGCCUGUGUGAACCACGGACCUUAUUUAAGGGAUUUAACCAAAAUCCCGUUCAAAAAACCCAUUGACUCUGGGACGAUGGAACCGGAAGCGCUAAAAUGCACUCGCUUCCGGGUUUUCGCCUACAAAGUGACAUCAUAGUUCCCCCACUCUAUUUCACAACAUCAUAUUGAUUUAUAGCGAUAUUUGUGUGAUGUGCACUCCUAAACUUUUUCACAGAGAGAUAUUUCCCUUCACUCAUGACGCGGAGAAGACAGGGAAAUUGGUUUUAUCAAGGAAAACAUCGAGAAUGCAUUUGAAUGGCUAUGCACUGAGGCGGAAGUCUUUUAACAAGGGAAACAUAAGAAAGAGACGUUUUCUUUCACUCACGAUGCGGAGCAUCGUUUUCUCAGGGAAAACACAAAAUGGUUCAUGCUGGCUUAACAGAAAAAUCGAAAGGAGAUGAUGUGCUUGAAGAGUAUGAAGCUACCAAUACAUUAAGUGGGAUGAGAAGAGCUUUGUUAGGACACAUACCAGAGACAUAUGGG